rnacentral:rRNA from 1 species
GAUGAACGCUGGCGGCGUGCCUAAUACAUGCAAGUAGAACGCUGAAGGAAGGAGCUUGCUCUUUCCGGAUGAGUUGCGAACGGGUGAGUAACGCGUAGGUAACCUGCCUGGUAGCGGGGGAUAACUAUUGGAAACGAUAGCUAAUACCGCAUAACAGUAGAUGUUGCAUGAUAUCUACUUAAAAGGUGCAAUUGCACCACUACCAGAUGGACCUGCGUUGUCUUAGCUAGUUGGUGAGGUAACGGCUCACCAAGGCGACGAUACAUAACCGACCUGAGAGGGUGAUCGGCCACACUGGGAAUGGGACACGGCCCAGACUCCUACGGGAGGCAGCAGUAGGGAAACUUCGGCAAUGGACGGAAGGCUGACCGAGCAACGCCGCGGGAGUGAAGAAGGUUUUCGGAUCGUAAAGCUCUGUUGUAAGAGAAGAACGAGUGUGAGAGUGGAAAGUUCACACUGUGACGGUAUCUUACCAGAAAGGGACGGCUAACUACGUG